UACGUAGGGCGCAAGCGUUGUCCGGAAUUAUUGGGCGUAAAGAGCUCGUAGGCGGUUUGUCGCGUUCUGCUGUGAAAGCCCGGGGCUCAACCCCGGGUCUGCAGUGGGUACGGGCAGACUAGAGUGCAGUAGGGGGAGACUGGGAACUCCUGGUGUAGCGGUGAAAUGCGCAGAUAUCAGGAGGAACACCGAUGGCGAAGGCAGGUCUCUGGGCUGUUACUGGACGCUGAGGAGCGAAAAGCAUGGGGGGAGCGAACAGG
rnacentral:rRNA from 1 species